ACGGGGGGUGCGAGCGUUGUCCGGAAUCACUGGGCGUAAAGGGCGCGUAGGUGGUUUGAUAAGGGUGUGGUGAAAGUCCGGGGCUCAACCCCGGAUCUGCCGUGCCGACUGUCAAACUCGAGGGCUGUAGAGGCAGACGGAAUUCCGGGUGUAGCGGUGGAAUGCGUAGAGAUCCGGAGGAAGACCGGUGGCGAAAGCGGCUUCCUGGACCAGCACCGACGUUCAGGCACGAAAGCGUGGGGAGCAAACAGGA
rnacentral:rRNA from 1 species